rnacentral:rRNA from 1 species
AUUGAACGCUGGCGGCAUGCCUUACACAUGCAAGUCGAACGGUGACAGGUCUUCGGAUGCUGACGAGUGGCGAACGGGUGAGUAAUACAUCGGAACGUGCCUAGUAGUGGGGGAUAACUACUCGAAAGAGUGGCUAAUACCGCAUGAGAUCUACGGAUGAAAGCAGGGGAUCGCAAGACCUUGUGCUACUAGAGCGGCCGAUGGCAGAUUAGGUAGUUGGUGGGAUAAAAGCUUACCAAGCCGACGAUCUGUAGCUGGUCUGAGAGGACGAUCAGCCACACUGGGACUGAGACACGGCCCAGACUCCUACGGGAGGCAGCAGUGGGGGAUUUUGGACAAUGGGCGCAAGCCUGAUCCAGCAAUGCCGCGUGCAGGAUGAAGGCCUUCGGGUUGUAAACUGCUUUUGUACGGAACGAAAAGCCCCGGGUUAAUACCCUGGGGUCAUGACGGUACCGUAAGAAUAAGCACCGGCUAACUACGUGCCAGCAGCCGCGGUAA